CCUCUCCCUCUCCCUCGAUUCUCACCCUUUCUGUUCACCAAAUUGAAAAAAAACUCUAAACUAGAAUUGGACUACUUAGCUAUCGAUUCUCCGGAGUUCUCUUCCUCGACGCCGACAACCCUUCCUACUGUGACACCACCGCUGCUGCUAUUGUUUCGGCUGGUAACCGCUGCCGUCCCCGCCGACGCUCGGGUUUGGAAAUGUCGUCGAAAAGGUCUGGGAAGUGUCGUUGUGCGUCGGAUUCCUCGCUGCCACCGCUGGUCUGCCUCCGCCACCGCCGCUGGUCUGCCGGAGGGCAGAAAAUCCGGCUUGAGGUGGAGAACUAGUUCCUACGGAACAAGCUUCAUUCUGAUUCAGUGGUGGGGCUGAGGUACCGUGGCAAUAGCCUCGGGUUGUCCUCUGUUUCCAACUUUCGCACUGGACGUAUGCCCUCUGUUAACCGUAUGAUUGAGAACCUCUCGGAUUGGGACAUAGACACCUCUGAUUCUGAGGGUGGGGGCUAUGGUGGUCGCGACUCCCCUAAGGCAUCGCUGCGGGAUGAUAAAGUGGCCAAUGGUGGUGCAAGACACAUUUAUUUUUCCAAUGCACCUGGGAAUUAUAAUGAUAGUCGUUGUAGGGCACCAUGAUUCUGCUAGGGUGUCUUCUGAAUCUGUCACUAACUGAACUCCACCCCGGACACCACUAGUAGCAACAGCGUUUCAGUGGAGAAACGAAACAAUGAAGGGGCUAAUCCAUCUAGCACCAGCGUGCAGCCAAAUAUGAAAACCAUGAGAUAGGUUCAUAGUAUCUUGUUUGGUGUUUCGAGUUUAUUUGGAAAGAUAUUUAAGUGAUCAAUUCUCAGCUUUGGCGGAUAUUGCCAAGAUGAUGGGUAUGAGACCUCUGGAGAAGUUUCUAGAAAAGCUGGAUACGUUUUUUAAGAAUGCAGUUGUAGCUUCUCAUCCGUUGAGCGGUCAAUAUCCAACAUUUCAUUCAAGUGGUCUAGGCAACUGGUAUGCUGUUUUAUCUUAUGAUGCAUCUGUCCGCCUAUGCCUCCACUCGUGGGCAAGGAGCUAUAUGAGAGCUCCUCCCUUUUUGGAAAAUGAAUGUUCACUGCUGAGGGAUGUAUUAGGUUAAGAAAUAUAUUAUUAAAAUCAGAGGAAAAGCUGACGAGGAAAGAUCAUUCUGAACUUGUGGGUGAAGGCGCUUACGUAAAGUCUAUGAAAACCAUCGGGAAGAUUAGAGUUCAAGUUCGUAAUGUGAAAAUGGGGACGAAGCAACCCACUGGUUUCACGUUUACAUCUUUAAAGUCUUCAUCCACGGUGAAGCUGGAAACAUUUCAGCAAAGGUUAUCAAAUGUGAAAUUGGUUGUUUCAUCCAACAAAAAGAAACAAAAAAAAAGAAAAAAAAGAAAAAAAGAAAAAAAGGAAAAAAUGAAAAAAGAGAAAAAAAAGAAAAAAAUAAAAAAAAUCUGACAUUGUAAGAGGCUCUCUUUAUUGCAUAGAAGCGUUGCACACUUAAUUGUUGGGACUCGUGGAUACUUGAAAGAAGUACCCAUGCUCAUAAAGCGCAUCAACUUAUGAAUUGGUGCAAGAAUCAUAUUCUUGUAUGUUGAGAUUGAAAAGUUCGUCCGAAGAGGAUGCAUUGGGAAUGCAACCGGGACCUGCUUGCCAGGUGGAUUUGGAGAUGAUCUGAAUCUGAAUUAUAUUGUGGGCAUGUUCUUGUUCAGGUGGCUGACAUUUCUGAUGAAUUGGGGAAGAAGCGUCGUCAGUGUGUUAUAUCCGGGGAAAAAGAGCAUGAAAAAGCUGAGAAAAAUACAGCUAUACAUCAACUACUCAACCACUGCAGAUAAAGAUAGUUACAAGUGCAUAUCUGUAGCAGAAACUAUCGCUUAAGACUGUGUUUUGGAGACUGCGAUGAAAGGCCAACAGUUUCAGCACAGAAACUUGUUGCUACAUGGUUCGUGGAAAUGGUUGGUGGAUUCAUUUGCAUCUUUUCUGGCGUUUUAGAUGCAUACACAAAGCUCAGAUACCUUUCAUACGUUAUGGAUAUCUCCACAGCAACAGUAGAUUAUCUUGAUUUGGUGCACGACAUUCUGCUGCCCAUGGUAAUCAAAGACAAAAGUAAGCACACAUUGAGUCACUAAGAGGCCCGUUUUCUGGGAGAAGUUUCUGUUUCUGUUCAAAUUGAGCAGAUACUCACUCUGGUCUUCGAGAAUUUCAAGUAACUUGAUGAAUCAUCGAUGUCGGGUAUUAAAGAUGUAUUCGGACCUGCAACAGGAUUUGCUGCACCUGCACUUGAUCCAGCUUUGAAGCUCUACAAAUGGUUGCAUGAUAUUCUUUCCCCGAGAUUGCUACGAGAAAAAGGUCAAUCAGGCACUUGUUUGAAAUUGAUGAGUUCUUUUCGACUAAUAACGAAAACAUGUUAUUGGAUCCCGUGGCUGUCUCCACAGCAUAUAUGAAAGGAAAAACUAAUGCAUGGGUCUCAAGAUGUGAAGGUAGCAGUGAAAAACAAAGUUCCUCUUGUAAGGUCGUUGACUUGAGCUGUGUUACAUUCUGUAUUGAAACAAGUAACACAGCGACCAUACCUAAGGUUCACGAGGAAUAUGUUCCCUCAUUUAUUUUGGAGUGGUCUAGGCAACUGGUAUGCUGUUUUAUCUUAUGAUGCAUCUGUCCGCCUAUGCCUCCACUCGUGGGCAAGGAGCUAUAUGAGAGCUCCUCCCUUUUUGGAAAAUGAAUGUUCACUGCUGAGGGAUGUAUUAGGUUAAGAAAUAUAUUAUUAAAAUCAGAGGAAAAGCUGACGAGGAAAGAUCAUUCUGAACUUGUGGGUGAAGGCGCUUACGUAAAGUCUAAGAAAACCAUCGGGAAGAUUAGAGUUCAAGUUCGUAAUGUGAAAAUGGGGACGAAGCAACCCACUGGUUUCACGUUUACAUCUUUAAAGUCUUCAUCCACGGUGAAGCUGGAAACAUUUCAGCAAAGGUUAUCAAAUGUGAAAUUGGUUGUUUCAUCCAACAAAAAGAAACAAAAAAAAGAAAAAAAAGAAAAAAAGAAAUAAAAGGAAAAAAUGAAAAAAGAAAAAAAAAAGAAAAAAAUCAAAAAAAUCUGACAUUGUAAGAGGAUCUCUUUAUUGCAUAGAAGCGUUGCACACUUAAUUGUUGGGACUCGUGGAUACUUGAAAGAAGUACCCAUGCUCAUAAAGCGCAUCAACUUAUGAAUUGGUGCAAGAAUCAUAUUCUUGUAUGUUGAGAUUGAAAAGUUCGUCCGAAGAGGAUGCAUUGGGAAUGCAACCGGGACCUGCUUGCCAGGUGGAUUUGGAGAUGAUCUGAAUCUGAAUUAUAUUGUGGGCAUGUUCUUGUUCAGGUGGCUGACAUUUCUGAUGAAUUGGGGAAGAAGCGUCGUCAGUGUGUUAUAUCCGGGGAAAAAGAGCAUGAAAAAGCUGAGAAAAAUACAGCUACACAUCAACUACUCAACCACUGCAGAUAAAGAUAGUUACAAGUGCAUAUCUGUAGCAGAAACUAUCGCUUAAGACUGUGUUUUGGAGACUGCGAUGAAAGGCCAACAGUUUCAGCACAGAAACUUGUUGCUACAUGGUUCGUGGAAAUGGUUGGUGGAUUCAUUUGCAUCUUUUCUGGCGUUUUAGAUGCAUACACAAAGCUCAGAUACCUUUCAUACGUUAUGGAUAUCUCCACAGCAACAGUAGAUUAUCUUGAUUUGGUGCACGACAUUCUGCUGCCCAUGGUAAUCAAAGACAAAAGUAAGCACACAUUGAGUCACUAAGAGCCCGUUUUCUGGGAGAAGUUUCUGUUUCUGUUCAAAUUGAGCAGAUACUCACUCUGGUCUUCGAGAAUUUCAAGUAACUUGAUGAAUCAUCGAUGUCGGGUAUUAAAGAUGUAUUCGGACCUGCAACAGGAUUUGCUGCACCUGCACUUGAUCCAGCUUUGAAGCUCUACAAAUGGUUGCAUGAUAUUCUUUCCCCGAGAUUGCUACGAGAAAAAGGUCAAUCAGGCACUUGUUUGAAAUUGAUGAGUUCUUUUCGACUAAUAACGAAAACAUGUUAUUGGAUCCCGUGGCUGUCUCCACAGCAUAUAUGAAAGGAAAAACUAAUGCAUGGGUCUCAAGAUGUGAAGGUAGCAGUGAAAAACAAAGUUCCUCUUGUAAGGUCGUUGACUUGAGCUGUGUUACAUUCUGUAUUGAAACAAGUAACACAGCGACCAUACCUAAGGUUCACGAGGAAUAUGUUCCCUCAUUUAUUUUGGAGUGGUCUAGGCAACUGGUAUGCUGUUUUAUCUUAUGAUGCAUCUGUCCGCCUAUGCCUCCACUCGUGGGCAAGGAGCUAUAUGAGAGCUCCUCCCUUUUUGGAAAAUGAAUGUUCACUGCUGAGGGAUGUAUUAGGUUAAGAAAUAUAUUAUUAAAAUCAGAGGAAAAGCUGACGAGGAAAGAUCAUUCUGAACUUGUGGGUGAAGGCGCUUACGUAAAGUCUAAGAAAACCAUCGGGAAGAUUAGAGUUCAAGUUCGUAAUGUGAAAAUGGGGACGAAGCAACCCACUGGUUUCACGUUUACAUCUUUAAAGUCUUCAUCCACGGUGAAGCUGGAAACAUUUCAGCAAAGGUUAUCAAAUGUGAAAUUGGUUGUUUCAUCCAACAAAAAGAAACAAAAAAAAGAAAAAAAAGAAAAAAAGAAUAAAAGGAAAAAAUGAAAAAAGAAAAAAAAAAGAAAAAAAUCAAAAAAAUCUGACAUUGUAAGAGGAUCUCUUUAUUGCAUAGAAGCGUUGCACACUUAAUUGUUGGGACUCGUGGAUACUUGAAAGAAGUACCCAUGCUCAUAAAGCGCAUCAACUUAUGAAUUGGUGCAAGAAUCAUAUUCUUGUAUGUUGAGAUUGAAAAGUUCGUCCGAAGAGGAUGCAUUGGGAAUGCAACCGGGACCUGCUUGCCAGGUGGAUUUGGAGAUGAUCUGAAUCUGAAUUAUAUUGUGGGCAUGUUCUUGUUCAGGUGGCUGACAUUUCUGAUGAAUUGGGGAAGAAGCGUCGUCAGUGUGUUAUAUCCGGGGAAAAAGAGCAUGAAAAAGCUGAGAAAAAUACAGCUACACAUCAACUACUCAACCACUGCAGAUAAAGAUAGUUACAAGUGCAUAUCUGUAGCAGAAACUAUCGCUUAAGACUGUGUUUUGGAGACUGCGAUGAAAGGCCAACAGUUUCAGCACAGAAACUUGUUGCUACAUGGUUCGUGGAAAUGGUUGGUGGAUUCAUUUGCAUCUUUUCUGGCGUUUUAGAUGCAUACACAAAGCUCAGAUACCUUUCAUACGUUAUGGAUAUCUCCACAGCAACAGUAGAUUAUCUUGAUUUGGUGCACGACAUUCUGCUGCCCAUGGUAAUCAAAGACAAAAGUAAGCACACAUUGAGUCACUAAGAGGCCCGUUUUCUGGGAGAAGUUUCUGUUUCUGUUCAAAUUGAGCAGAUACUCACUCUGGUCUUCGAGAAUUUCAAGUAACUUGAUGAAUCAUCGAUGUCGGGUAUUAAAGAUGUAUUCGGACCUGCAACAGGAUUUGCUGCACCUGCACUUGAUCCAGCUUUGAAGCUCUACAAAUGGUUGCAUGAUAUUCUUUCCCCGAGAUUGCUACGAGAAAAAGGUCAAUCAGGCACUUGUUUGAAAUUGAUGAGUUCUUUUCGACUAAUAACGAAAACAUGUUAUUGGAUCCCGUGGCUGUCUCCACAGCAUAUAUGAAAGGAAAAACUAAUGCAUGGGUCUCAAGAUGUGAAGGUAGCAGUGAAAAACAAAGUUCCUCUUGUAAGGUCGUUGACUUGAGCUGUGUUACAUUCUGUAUUGAAACAAGUAACACAGCGACCAUACCUAAGGUUCACGAGGAAUAUGUUCCCUCAUUUAUUUUGGAGUGGUCUAGGCAACUGGUAUGCUGUUUUAUCUUAUGAUGCAUCUGUCCGCCUAUGCCUCCACUCGUGGGCAAGGAGCUAUAUGAGAGCUCCUCCCUUUUUGGAAAAUGAAUGUUCACUGCUGAGGGAUGUAUUAGGUUAAGAAAUAUAUUAUUAAAAUCAGAGGAAAAGCUGACGAGGAAAGAUCAUUCUGAACUUGUGGGUGAAGGCGCUUACGUAAAGUCUAAGAAAACCAUCGGGAAGAUUAGAGUUCAAGUUCGUAAUGUGAAAAUGGGGACGAAGCAACCCACUGGUUUCACGUUUACAUCUUUAAAGUCUUCAUCCACGGUGAAGCUGGAAACAUUUCAGCAAAGGUUAUCAAAUGUGAAAUUGGUUGUUUCAUCCAACAAAAAGAAACAAAAAAAAGAAAAAAAAGAAAAAAAGAAAAAAAGGAAAAAAUGAAAAAAGAGAAAAAAAAGAAAAAAAUAAAAAAAAUCUGACAUUGUAAGAGGCUCUCUUUAUUGCAUAGAAGCGUUGCACACUUAAUUGUUGGGACUCGUGGAUACUUGAAAGAAGUACCCAUGCUCAUAAAGCGCAUCAACUUAUGAAUUGGUGCAAGAAUCAUAUUCUUGUAUGUUGAGAUUGAAAAGUUCGUCCGAAGAGGAUGCAUUGGGAAUGCAACCGGGACCUGCUUGCCAGGUGGAUUUGGAGAUGAUCUGAAUCUGAAUUAUAUUGUGGGCAUGUUCUUGUUCAGGUGGCUGACAUUUCUGAUGAAUUGGGGAAGAAGCGUCGUCAGUGUGUUAUAUCCGGGGAAAAAGAGCAUGAAAAAGCUGAGAAAAAUACAGCUAUACAUCAACUACUCAACCACUGCAGAUAAAGAUAGUUACAAGUGCAUAUCUGUAGCAGAAACUAUCGCUUAAGACUGUGUUUUGGAGACUGCGAUGAAAGGCCAACAGUUUCAGCACAGAAACUUGUUGCUACAUGGUUCGUGGAAAUGGUUGGUGGAUUCAUUUGCAUCUUUUCUGGAGUUUUAGAUGCAUACACAAAGCUCAGAUACCUUUCAUACGUUAUGGAUAUCUCCACAGCAACAGUAGAUUAUCUUGAUUUGGUGCACGACAUUCUGCUGCCCGUGGUAAUCAAAGACAAAAGUAAGCACACAUUGAGUCACUAAGAGGCCAGUUUUCUGGGAGAAGUUUCUGUUUCUGUUCAAAUUGAGCAGAUGCUCACUCUGGUCUUCGAGAAUUUCAAGUAACUUGAUGAAUCAUCGAUGUCGGGUAUUAAAGAUGUAUUCGGACCUGCAACAGGAUUGGCUGCACCUGCACUUGAUCCAGCUUUGAAGCUCUACAAAUGGUUGCAUGAUAUUCUUUCCCCGAGAUUGCUACGAGAAAAAGGUCAAUCAGGCACUUGUUUGAAAUUGAUGAGUUCUUUUCGACUAAUAACGAAAACAUGUUAUUGGAUCCCGUGGCUGUCUCCACAGCAUAUAUGAAAGGAAAAACUAAUGCAUGGGUCUCAAGAUGUGAAGGUAGCAGUGAAAAACAAAGUUCCUCUUGUAAGGUCGUUGACUUGAGCUGUGUUACAUUCUGUAUUGAAACAAGUAACACAGCGACCAUACCUAAGGUUCACGAGGAAUAUGUUCCCUCAUUUAUUUUGGAGUGGUCUAGGCAACUGGUAUGCUGUUUUAUCUUAUGAUGCAUCUGUCCGCCUAUGCCUCCACUCGUGGGCAAGGAGCUAUAUGAGAGCUCCUCCCUUUUUGGAAAAUGAAUGUUCACUGCUGAGGGAUGUAUUAGUUAAAUUUGCAAGUUAAGAAAUAUAUUAUUAAAAUCAGAGGAAAAGCUGACGAGGAAAGAUCAUUCUUAACUUGUGGGUGAAGGCGCUUACGUAAAGUCUAAGAAAACCAUCGGGAAGAUUAGAGUUCAAGUUCGUAAUGUGAAAAUGGGGACGAAGCAACCCACUGGUUUCACGUUUACAUCUUUAAAGUCUUCAUCCACGGUGAAGCUGGAAACAUUUCAGCAAAGGUUAUCAAAUGUGAAAUUGGUUGUUUCAUCCAACAAAAAGAAACAAAAAAAAGAAAAAAAAGAAAAAAAGAAAAAAAGGAAAAAAUGAAAAAGAGAAAAAAAAGAAAAAAAUAAAAAAAAUCUGACAUUGUAAGAGGCUCUCUUUAUUGCAUAGAAGCGUUGCACACUUAAUUGUUGGGACUCGUGGAUACUUGAAAGAAGUACCCAUGCUCAUAAAGCGCAUCAACUUAUGAAUUGGUGCAAGAAUCAUAUUCUUGUAUGUUGAGAUUGAAAAGUUCGUCCGAAGAGGAUGCAUUGGGAAUGCAACCGGGACCUGCUUGCCAGGUGGAUUUGGAGAUGAUCUGAAUCUGAAUUAUAUUGUGGGCAUGUUCUUGUUCAGGUGGCUGACAUUUCUGAUGAAUUGGGGAAGAAGCGUCGUCAGUGUGUUAUAUCCGGGGAAAAAGAGCAUGAAAAAGCUGAGAAAAAUACAGCUAUACAUCAACUACUCAACCACUGCAGAUAAAGAUAGUUACAAGUGCAUAUCUGUAGCAGAAACUAUCGCUUAAGACUGUGUUUUGGAGACUGCGAUGAAAGGCCAACAGUUUCAGCACAGAAACUUGUUGCUACAUGGUUCGUGGAAAUGGUUGGUGGAUUCAUUUGCAUCUUUUCUGGAGUUUUAGAUGCAUACACAAAGCUCAGAUACCUUUCAUACGUUAUGGAUAUCUCCACAGCAACAGUAGAUUAUCUUGAUUUGGUGCACGACAUUCUGCUGCCCGUGGUAAUCAAAGACAAAAGUAAGCACACAUUGAGUCACUAAGAGGCCAGUUUUCUGGGAGAAGUUUCUGUUUCUGUUCAAAUUGAGCAGAUACUCACUCUGGUCUUCGAGAAUUUCAAGUAACUUGAUGAAUCAUCGAUGUCGGGUAUUAAAGAUGUAUUCGGACCUGCAACAGGAUUGGCUGCACCUGCACUUGAUCCAGCUUUGUAGCUCUACAAAUGGUUGCAUGCUAUUCUUUCCCCGAGAUUGCUACGAGAAAAAGGUCAAUCAGGCACUUGUUUGAAAUUGAUGAGUUCUUUUCGACUAAUAACGAAAACAUGUUAUUGGAUCCCGUGGCUGUCUCCACAGCAUAUAUGAAAGGAAAAACUAAUGCAUGGGUCUCAAGAUGUGAAGGUAGCAGUGAAAAACAAAGUUCCUCUUGUAAGGUCGUUGACUUGAGCUGUGUUACAUUCUGUAUUGAAACAAGUAACACAGCGACCAUACCUAAGGUUCACGAGGAAUAUGUUCCCUCAUUUAUUUUGGAGUGGUCUAGGCAACUGGUAUGCUGUUUUAUCUUAUGAUGCAUCUGUCCGCCUAUGCCUCCACUCGUGGGCAAGGAGCUAUAUGAGAGCUCCUCCCUUUUUGGAAAAUGAAUGUUCACUGCUGAGGGAUGUAUUAGGUUAAGAAAUAUAUUAUUAAAAUCAGAGGAAAAGCUGACGAGGAAAGAUCAUUCUGAACUUGUGGGUGAAGGCGCUUACGUAAAGUCUAAGAAAACCAUCGGGAAGAUUAGAGUUCAAGUUCGUAAUGUGAAAAUGGGGACGAAGCAACCCACUGGUUUCACGUUUACAUCUUUAAAGUCUUCAUCCACGGUGAAGCUGGAAACAUUUCAGCAAAGGUUAUCAAAUGUGAAAUUGGUUGUUUCAUCCAACAAAAAGAAACAAAAAAAAGAAAAAAAAGAAAAAAAGAAAAAAAGGAAAAAAUGAAAAAGAGAAAAAAAAGAAAAAAAUAAAAAAAAUCUGACAUUGUAAGAGGCUCUCUUUAUUGCAUAGAAGCGUUGCACACUUAAUUGUUGGGACUCGUGGAUACUUGAAAGAAGUACCCAUGCUCAUAAAGCGCAUCAACUUAUGAAUUGGUGCAAGAAUCAUAUUCUUGUAUGUUGAGAUUGAAAAGUUCGUCCGAAGAGGAUGCAUUGGGAAUGCAACCGGGACCUGCUUGCCAGGUGGAUUUGGAGAUGAUCUGAAUCUGAAUUAUAUUGUGGGCAUGUUCUUGUUCAGGUGGCUGACAUUUCUGAUGAAUUGGGGAAGAAGCGUCGUCAGUGUGUUAUAUCCGGGGAAAAAGAGCAUGAAAAAGCUGAGAAAAAUACAGCUAUACAUCAACUACUCAACCACUGCAGAUAAAGAUAGUUACAAGUGCAUAUCUGUAGCAGAAACUAUCGCUUAAGACUGUGUUUUGGAGACUGCGAUGAAAGGCCAACAGUUUCAGCACAGAAACUUGUUGCUACAUGGUUCGUGGAAAUGGUUGGUGGAUUCAUUUGCAUCUUUUCUGGAGUUUUAGAUGCAUACACAAAGCUCAGAUACCUUUCAUACGUUAUGGAUAUCUCCACAGCAACAGUAGAUUAUCUUGAUUUGGUGCACGACAUUCUGCUGCCCGUGGUAAUCAAAGACAAAAGUAAGCACACAUUGAGUCACUAAGAGGCCAGUUUUCUGGGAGAAGUUUCUGUUUCUGUUCAAAUUGAGCAGAUACUCACUCUGGUCUUCGAGAAUUUCAAGUAACUUGAUGAAUCAUCGAUGUCGGGUAUUAAAGAUGUAUUCGGACCUGCAACAGGAUUGGCUGCACCUGCACUUGAUCCAGCUUUGUAGCUCUACAAAUGGUUGCAUGCUAUUCUUUCCCCGAGAUUGCUACGAGAAAAGGUCAAUCAGGCACUUGUUUGAAAUUGAUAAGUUCUUUUCGACUAAUAACGAAAACAUGUUAUUGGAUCCCGUGGCUGUCUCCACAGCAUAUAUGAAAGGAAAAACUAAUGCAUGGGUCUCAAGAUGUGAAGGUAGCAGUGAAAAACAAAGUUCCUCUUGUAAGGUCGUUGACUUGAGCUGUGUUACAUUCUGUAUUGAAACAAGUAACACAGCGACCAUACCUAAGGUUCACGAGGAAUAUGUUCCCUCAUUUAUUUUGGAGUGGUCUAGGCAACUGGUAUGCUGUUUUAUCUUAUGAUGCAUCUGUCCGCCUAUGCCUCCACUCGUGGGCAAGGAGCUAUAUGAGAGCUCCUCCCUUUUUGGAAAAUGAAUGUUCACUGCUGAGGGAUGUAUUAGGUUAAGAAAUAUAUUAUUAAAAUCAGAGGAAAAGCUGACGAGGAAAGAUCAUUCUGAACUUGUGGGUGAAGGCGCUUACGUAAAGUCUAAGAAAACCAUCGGGAAGAUUAGAGUUCAAGUUCGUAAUGUGAAAAUGGGGACGAAGCAACCCACUGGUUUCACGUUUACAUCUUUAAAGUCUUCAUCCACGGUGAAGCUGGAAACAUUUCAGCAAAGGUUAUCAAAUGUGAAAUUGGUUGUUUCAUCCAACAAAAAGAAACAAAAAAAAAGAAAAAAAAGAAAAAAAAGAA